GGAUUCCCCCAGUAACGGCGAGUGAAGAGGGAAAAGCCCAAAUUUGUAAUCUGGCUCUUUUAGAGUCCGAGUUGUAAUUUUGAGAACUGUUUUCUGUGCUGGACCAUGUUUAAGUCUGUUGAAAAACAGCAUCAUUGAGGGUGAUAAUCCCGUUCAUGAUAUGGACUACCAGUGCUCUAUGAUACAGUCUCUAAGAGUCGAGUUGUUUGGGAAUGCAGCUCAAAGUGGGUGGUAAAUUCCAUCUAAGGCUAAAUAUAGGUGAGAGACCGAUAGCAAACAAGUACCGUGAGGGAAAGAUGAAAAGAACUUUGGAAAGAGAGUUAACAGUACGUGAAAUUGCUGAAAGGGAAACAAUUGAAGUUAGCCUUGUUAUUUCCAGUUCAACCCUUUUAGGGUGUAUUCUGGUGAUUAACGACCAACAUCAGUCUUUGAGUGCUGGAUAAGGGUUUUGGAAAUGUAGCAGUCUAGGCUGUGUUAUAGUCCAUUACUUUGAUACAGUGCUUAGGAUUGAGGAUCGCAGUAAGCCAAUCUUGGUGGAUCAAUUUAUUGGUCUUCUUAC
rnacentral:rRNA from 1 species